GCCUGCAUAGCUCAGUCGGUACAGCGUUAGGCUUUUAACCUAAAUGUCCAGGAUUCGAGUCACUGUUCGGACG